rnacentral:rRNA from 1 species
AAUCCAUAGGUUAAUGAGGCGAACCGGGGGAACUGAAACAUCUAAGUACCCCGAGGAAAAGAAAUCAACCGAGAUUCCCCCAGUAGCGGCGAGCGAACGGGGAGGAGCCCAGAGCCUGAAUCAGCAUGUGUGUUAGUGGAAGCGUCUGGAAAGGCGCGCGAUACAGGGUGACAGCCCCGUACACAAAAGCGCAUGUGCUGUGAGCUCGAUGAGUAGGGCGGGACACGUGGUAUCCUGUCUGAAUAUGGGGGGACCAUCCUCCAAGGCUAAAUACUCCUGACUGACCGAUAGUGAACCAGUACCGUGAGGGAAAGGCGAAAAGAACCCCGGCGAGGGGAGUGAAAAAGAACCUGAAACCGUGUACGUACAAGCAGUGGGAGCACAGGUUUACCUGUGUGACUGCGUACCUUUUGUAUAAUGGGUCAGCGACUUAUAUUCUGUAGCAAGGUUAACCGAAUAGGGGAGCCGGAGGGAAACCGAGUCUUAACCGGGCGUUAAGUUGCAGGGUAUAGACCCGAAACCCGGUGAUCUAGCCAUGGGCAGGUUGAAGGUUGGGUAACACUAACUGGAGGACCGAACCGACUAAUGUUGAAAAAUUAGCGGAUGACCUGUGGCUGGGGGUGAAAGGCCAAUCAAACCGGGAGAUAGCUGGUUCUCCCCGAAAGCUAUUUAGGUAGCGCCUCGUGAAUUCAUCUCCGGGGGUAGAGCACUGUUUCGGCUAGGGGGCCAUCCCGGCUUACCAACCCGAUGCAAACUGCGAAUACCGGAGAAUGUUAUCACGGGAGACACACGGCGGGUGCUAACGUCCGUCGUGAAGAGGGAAACAACCCAGACCGCCAGCUAAGGUCCCAAAGUCAUGGU